rnacentral:rRNA from 1 species
AGCUCCAAUAGCGUAUAUUAAAGUUGCUGCAGUUAAAAAGCUCGUAGUUGGAUUUCUGGCUUGAUAUAUUUUGCCGGCCACGGUUUCGUGUGUUAGUGCUUGAUAUUCUGGCCAUCCUUCCAAUGGCUAUUCAUCCUUCUUCAUUGAGGUGGUGAGUGGUAUUGGAUCUUUUACUUUGAAAAAAUUAGAGUGUUUCAAGCAGGCUUUAUGCUAUGAAUACAUUAGCAUGGAAUAAUAAUUUAGGACUUCGGUUCUAUUUUGUUGGUUUCUAGGACUGAAGUAAUGAUUGAUAGGGAUAGUUGGGGGUGCUAGUAUUCAGCGGCCAGAGGUGAAAUUCUCGGAUUCGCUGAAGACUAACUUAUGCGAAAGCAUUCACCAAGGAUGUCUUCU